ensembl:lncRNA
GGAGCAGACACUGCUGUGGCAGUAGAUAAAUACAGAAAAGGCUCCUGCGGGAGCAGACACUGCUGUGGCAGUAGAUAAAUACAGAAAAGGCUCCUGCGGGAGCAGACACUGCUGUGGCAGUAGAUAAAUACAGAAAAGGCUCCUGCGGGAGCAGACACUGCUGUGGCAGUAGAUAAAUACAGAAAAGGCUCCUGCGGGAGCAGACACUGCUGUGGCAGUAGAUAAAUACAGAAAAGGCUCCUGCGGGAGCAGACACUGCUGUGGCAGUAGAUAAAUACAGAAAAGGCUCCUGCGGGAGCAGACACUGCUGUGGCAGUAGAUAAAUACAGAAAAGGCUCCUGCGGGAGCAGACACUGCUGUGGCAGUAGAUAAAUACAGAAAAGGCUCCUGCGGGAGCAGACACUGCUGUGGCAGUAGAUAAAUACAGAAAAGGCUCCUGCGGGAGCAGACACUGCUGUGGCAGUAGAUAAAUACAGAAAAGGCUCCUGCGGGAGCAGACACUGCUGUGGCAGUAGAUAAAUACAGAAAAGGCUCCUGCGGGAGCAGACACUGCUGUGGCAGUAGAUAAAUACAGAAAAGGCUCCUGCGGGAGCAGACACUGCUGUGGCAGUAGAUAAAUACAGAAAAGGCUCCUGCGGGAGCAGACACUGCUGUGGCAGUAGAUAAAUACAGAAAAGGCUCCUGCGGGAGCAGACACUGCUGUGGCAGUAGAUAAAUACAGAAAAGGCUCCUGCGGGAGCAGACACUGCUGUGGCAGUAGAUAAAUACAGAAAAGGCUCCUGCGGGAGCAGACACUGCUGUGGCAGUAGAUAAAUACAGAAAAGGCUCCUGCGGGAGCAGACACUGCUGCGGCAGUGGAUAAAUACAGAAAAUGCUCCUGCGGGAGCGACUACUGCUGUGGUAGUAGGGAAAUACAGAAAAAGCUUCUGCAGAAGCGGGCACUGCUGCGGCAUCUGAAAAGAAAAAUUGGCUUCUGCGGAAGCAGGCGCUGCUGCGGCAUCUGAAAAGAAAACUCCUGCGGGAGUGGGAACUGCUACGGCAUCUGAAAAGAGAAAAUAGCUUCUGCAUAAGUGAGCACUGCUGCAGCAGAUUAAAAUACAGACAAAGGCUCCUACUGGAGCUGACACUGCUGCGGCAGUGGGGAAAUACGGAAAGGCUCCUGCGG